UGGGGAAUAUUUCACAAUGGGCGCAAGCCUGAUGCAGCCAUGCCGCGUGUAUGAAGAAGGCCUUCGGGUUGUAAAGUACUUUCAGUCGGGAGGAAGGUGUCAAGGUUAAUAACCUUGGCAAUUGACGUUACCGACAGAAGAAGCACCGGCUAACUCCGUGCCAGCAGCCGCGGUAAUACGGAGGGUGCAAGCGUUAAUCGGAAUUACUGGGCGUAAAGCGCACGCAGGCGGUUGAUUGAGUCAGAUGUGAAAUCCCCGGGCUUAACCCGGGAAUUGCAUCUGAUACUGGUCAGCUAGAGUCUUGUAGAGGGGGGUAGAAUUCCAUGUGUAGCGGUGAAAUGCGUAGAGAUGUGGAGGAAUACCAGUGGCGAAGGCGGCCCCCUGGACAAAGACUGACGCUCAGGUGCGAAAGCGUGGGGAGCAAACAGG
rnacentral:rRNA from 1 species